UACGUAGGGGGCAAGCGUUAUCCGGAAUCAUUGGGCGUAAAGCGCGUGUAGGCGGUUCCGUAAGUCCGCUCUGAAAGCCCCAGGGCUCAACCCUGGGAGGCGGGUGGAUACUACGGAACUGGAGUACGGAAGAGGAGAUUGGAAUUCCUGGUGUAGCGGUGAAAUGCGCAGAUAUCAGGAGGAACACCAACAGCGAAGGCAGAUCUCUGGGACGUUACUGACGCUGAGACGCGAAAAGCGUGGGGGAGCAAACAGG
rnacentral:rRNA from 1 species